UGGGGAAUAUUGGGCAAUGGGCGAAAGCCUGACCCAGCAACGCCGCGUGAGGGAAGAAGGUUUUCGGAUUGUAAACCUCUGUCCUUGGGGACGAAAAAAAUGACGGUACCCAAGGAGGAAGCCCCGGCUAACUACGUGCCAGCAGCCGCGGUAAUACGUAGGGGGCGAGCGUUGUCCGGAAUUACUGGGCGUAAAGGGUGCGUAGGCGGUUAUUUAAGUCAGAUGUGAAAUCCCCGGGCUCAACUCGGGUGGUGCAUUUGAAACUGGGUAACUAGAGUGCAGGAGAGGGAAGCGGAAUUCCUAGUGUAGCGGUGAAAUGCGUAGAUAUUAGGAGGAACACCAGUGGCGAAGGCGGCUUUCUGGACUGUAACUGACGCUGAGGCACGAAAGCGUGGGGAGCAAACAG
rnacentral:rRNA from 1 species